rnacentral:rRNA from 1 species
GUCAGAGGCGAUGAAGGACGUGCUAAUCUGCGAUAAGCGUCGGUAAGGUGAUAUGAACCGUUAUAACCGGCGAUUUCCGAAUGGGGAAACCCAGUGUGAUUCGUCACACUAUCAUUAACUGAAUCCAUAGGUUAAUGAGGCGAACCGGGGGAACUGAAACAUCUAAGUACCCCGAGGAAAAGAAAUCAACCGAGAUUCCCCCAGUAGCGGCGAGCGAACGGGGAGCAGCCCAGAGCCUGAAUCAGUGUGUGUGUUAGUGGAAGCGUCUGGAAAGGCGCGCGAUACAGGGUGACAGCCCCGUACACAAAAAUGCACAU